rnacentral:rRNA from 1 species
UACGGAGGGUGCAAGCGUUAUCCGGAUUCACUGGGUUUAAAGGGUGCGUAGGCGGGUUGGUAAGUCCGUGGUGAAAUCCCCAAGCUUAACUUGGGAACUGCCGUGGAUACUAUCAGUCUUGAAUAUCGUGGAGGUAAGCGGAAUAUGUCAUGUAGCGGUGAAAUGCUUAGAUAUGACAUAGAACACCAAUUGCGUAGGCAGCUUACUACACGAUCAUUGACGCUGAGGCACGAAAGCGUGGGGAGCAAACAGG